AGCGGCAGGCUUAACACAUGCAAGUCGAGGGGCAUCGGGGAGGAAGCUUGCUUUCUCCGCCGGCGACCGGCGCACGGGUGAGUAACACGUAUGCAACCUGCCCCUGUCAGGGGGACAACCCGCCGAAAGGCGGGCUAAACCCGCGUACAUGCCACCGGGGCAUCCCGGAGGCAGGAAAGGCUUCGGCCGGACAGGGAUGGGCAUGCGGCGCAUUAGGCAGUAGGCGGGGUAACGGCCCACCUAACCGACGAUGCGUAGGGGUUCUGAGAGGAAGGUCCCCCACACUGGUACUGAGACACGGACCAGACUCCUACGGGAGGCAGCAGUGAGGAAUAUUGGUCAAUGGUCGGGAGACUGAACCAGCCAAGCCGCGUGAGGGAGGAAGGUACAGAGUAUCGUAAACCUCUUUUGUCAGGGAACAAAGGCGGGGACGUGUCCCCGGAUGAGUGUACCUGAAGAAAAAGCAUCGGCUAACUCCGUGCCAGCAGCCGCGGUAAUACGGAGGAUGCGAGCGUUAUCCGGAUUUAUUGGGUUUAAAGGGUGCGCAGGCGGUCUGUUAAGUCAGCGGUCAAAGCCCGGGGCUCAACCCCGGCCCGCCGUUGAAACUGGCAGUCUCGAGUUGGAGAGAAGUAUGCGGAAUGCGCGGUGUAGCGGUGAAAUGCAUAGAUAUCGCGCAGAACUCCGAUUGCGAAAGCAGCAUGCCGGCUCCACACUGACGCUGAGGCACGAAAGCGUGGGUAUCGAACAGGAUUAGAUACCCUGGUAGUCCACGCAGUUAACAAUGAAUGCUGGAUGUCCGGGGGGGAUUGACCCCCUGGGUGGGGAAGCGAAAGGCGAUAAGCAUUCCACCUGGGGAGUACGCCGGCAACGGUGAAACUCAAAGGAAUUGACGGGGGCCCGCACAAGCGGAGGAACAUGUGGUU
rnacentral:rRNA from 1 species